AUGAUUCGAGGUCAUCUCUUUGGAACUGGCCCACAUUUCCUCUGGCGAUUGGGCCGACAGUAUGGAUCACAUCUGGAAGAUGAGCCAAGCACCCAGAACACUGCCCGUCAUCUACAGACCACAGAGCUAACUGUCACAGCACAAGGUGACAGCAACACCCAAGCUCCACAGUCAACACCUGCACACCCUGAACGAGACAGCACAGGUCCUCACGCCAGGUACCACAAACACAAGGUACCAGAAAAUGCUGUUUCGACUACCUGCCUUCGCAGCGAGCUACACAAGACCGGUCCUCAUCACCCACCGAUCGUCCCACCUGCCCUAAUGCCAACAUUCCUGGGCAGCCCUGUCAAAAAGGGGGUGGGUCAAAAAGGAGUCAACAGGGAAGACCUGAUCGACACAGGAUUAAACCUGACGGUGAUCUCAUCUUACCUUUUCAAAAGACUCCAAUUUGAAGCUAAGGGACAAGAUCGAACUCUUACACCUCAAACUUAUGAACUGAAUGUACAGGUGUACAGACAGGAUGACAUCCAGUUUGAACAGGUUGUUUCCAUUCACCUGACAUUCGUUCCGAUGAGUCUAAUACAUCCCAUGUAUGUCCCACCAAUGAACACUCAUACAUUGCUCAUCGACAAAGACCUGCUAGAACACUUUGACCCUUUUCUGAACUUCAAACAGCUAAAAGACUUUGCUCAAGUGCGAGAACCUCUUUUCUCUCCAGCCACACAGGUUGCUAGAGCCAGACUGUCAGGUCGCAGAGGUCACGGGAACUCCCACAGAGCCAGACGGUCAGGUCACAGAGGUCACGGGAACCCCAGCAGCCAGCCAUGAGUACAACGCCCUAACAACAGGCCCAAGUUCAAGCCUCUGUACCUUAGUCAACAAACAGGGUACGGUGGUACCAGCUUACACCAAAGGGGUCGCUGUUCGACUCAACCUGCAAGGUGGUCAAACCUUACACCACACGCUGGGUUUCUUCCAAUCCUCACCUGAAUGUGUGGAACUCGGACUCACACUUGCAAACAAGCAUGUCAAACACCAACACCUGUUCCAGCAAUGUGAUAACAUCACAAAAACACACAAUGUGAUUGUGUACUGAAGAAGGAAAAAGGACACUCGAAGUUACCAAGUCUAGACGAGGACUUUAAAGAUUACACUGACACCCUUGCCAAAACUGGCACACUAAACAACAUUCUGUGGUCACUCCCAACCCACCCACCCACAUUCAAGGUUGAAGUGAUUACACACAGCACAAGAACUUUACUAGCUAAACUGCCUACCUCAGAAUCGCUUACGCAGGCUCCGUUGUCUACACAGACCAACAUAGCGGACAUGCGGGCUUCUGAAACCUUGAUAAUGACUUUGAUUUACCACCUCUCAGACCCCUCCAUCCACCCUGGCAACCAGUCUACAGUCACUGACAACCAAAGCCCCAGACCACUGCAUGAUACACAAACCAUGCUGCGUGCACAGAACAAUAUUGUGGGUUGUGCACCGUCUGACAUCACAAUGCCAGGGCUUGUAAUGCCACGGAGCAAAAGGGGGAUAAUGCAAUAUAUUUCCAUGACGCAGCAUGUGCUGCACCACGCAGCACCAGAGCCACUGACAAAACACUGAAGCAAGCGUCAUGCCAGCAGCAAGAUGUGGCAAAACAUGGGCGAGGCGAGCUAAACCCAGUCACCGCCCACGAAGCAAAGAGACUGUCCUGUCCAACCAAAGACAGGCCUUGUUUGUUUCUUUCUCCCCUUUCUCUCUCUCUCUCCCUAUUAUCUGUACCAGGAUGCUGCUGUGGUUUGCCGUGCCGUGCUGUCAGCCAAAGAGAGGACAGCUGCCACGAGAAAACCGCUGAGACUCCUGACUACCGAUGACAGGGCACACUACCCAGCACUGUAACCGAAUACAGCUGUACAAGGUUUCCGAUGGAGAGAGGACUCCCUCACUCACACUGAGGCCGAUGUCAAACACCUGUUCAGCCAACAUGAGAAAGUGACGGUUACACAAAUGGAGUUAGUGGACACCACCACCGCUCCAAACAGUUCCCGGGAGCUUUGCUUAGAGCCGCUGCUGCUGCCGCCAGAAUGUUUAACAUUGUUAUGUCCAGUGUCAAUGCAGCGAACCAGACUGUAAACUCCUUGAAACCACUGUUUACUGUCUUCCAGAAGACUUUACCCAGACUCAGCUGUUUACAGCAUUAACAACAGACAUGCUGUGGGAGGUUAGCUCCUCCAAUGACAGCCUAACCACGAGUAAAACCCCACCAUACAUGAUACCCUUAAGCCUUGUGUUAACUGUGCUGUCUUACGCCAUCACCAUGCCAGCUGACCUGCUACAAAUACACCUGGCCAACUCUCUGGAUAGCGCCUUCCUACGGCACGUAACCCCCAAACAGAGAGAAGUGAACGUGCUCCUGAACCAACUCAUCAGCGAGUCAAGCCAAGUCUACAGACCUAAAGACAUUGUCAGUGUCAGGAUGUGGAAAGCAACACCCACACCAAAACACACAUUCCAAAUGUGGUGGCCUACCACGACAGCGACACACAGCUGUACCUGGCCCCAAACAUGCACAUGUGUACUUUAACCAAAGACAUUCAUUAUCUCUGCCUUAGCAAACCCUUCCUCAGACACAACUCUGAAGGAAUCUGCGAGCUGCAACCCUGGGUCAGCGAUACGCGCUGCCCUGCCGAAGCCAAGCCUCGUACACAAGUCACAGAAACGCAAGCAGAGAUUGUGGGUAACAGAUGGCUCGUCAACACUCCUGUGCGCUCAGCUAUGCUGACCUACGACCAGCAUGACACCGCCACCCGUGCCAACCUGCUGGACCAAGUACUGAAAGGUACCACCCAACACAUUGACAUUACUCCUGUCGACACAGCCCUCCAAGCACAGCCUCGACAGCCCGUUCUGAACCAGUCAUCUGCGGUCCUAGCUGGACUGCUGCGACACUGCACGGGCAUCU
ensembl:lncRNA